AUUGAACGCUGGCGGCAUGCUUUACACAUGCAAGUCGAACGGCAGCGCGGGCUUCGGCCUGGCGGCGAGUGGCGAACGGGUGAGUAAUGCAUCGGAACGUGCCCAGUAGUGGGGGAUAGCCCGGCGAAAGCCGGAUUAAUACCGCAUACGACCUGAGGGUGAAAGCGGGGGACCGAAAGGCCUCGCGCUAUUGGAGCGGCCGAUGUCGGAUUAGCUAGUUGGUGGGGUAAAGGCUUACCAGGCGACGAUCCGUAGCUGGUCUGAGAGGACGACCAGCCACACUGGGACUGAGACACGGCCCAGACUCCUACGGGAGGCAGCAGUGGGGAAUUUUGGACAAUGGGGGCAACCCUGAUCCAGCCAUGCCGCGUGCGGGAAGAAGGCCUUCGGGUUGUAAACCGCUUUUGUUCGGGAAGAAAUCCUCUGGGCUAAUACCCCGGGGGGAUGACGGUACCGGAAGAAUAAGCACCGGCUAACUACGUG
rnacentral:rRNA from 1 species